rfam:Dipodomys ordii contig_55133, whole genome shotgun sequence.
GUGGCUCAGUGGUAGAGUGCUUGCCUUGCAUGCAUGAAGUCCUGGGUUCAAUUCCUCAGC